GAUGAACGCUGACAGAAUGCUUAACACAUGCAAGUCUACUUGAACUUCGGUUUGGGUGGCGGACGGGUGAGUAACGCGUAAAGAACUUGCCUCACAGUUAGGGACAACAUUUGGAAACGAAUGCUAAUACCUGAUAUUAUGAUUUUAGGGCAUCCUAGGAUUAUGAAAGCUAUAUGUGCUGUGAGAGAGCUUUGCGUCCCAUUAGCUAGUUGGAGAGGUAACGGCUCACCAAGGCGAUGAUGGGUAGCCGGCCUGAGAGGGUGAACGGCCACAAGGGGACUGAGACACGGCCCGUACUCCUACGGGAGGCAGCAGUGGGGAAUAUUGGACAAUGGACCAAAAGUCUGAUCCAGCAAUUCUGUGUGCACGAUGACGUUUUUCGGAAUGUAAAGUGCUUUCAGUUGGGAAGAAAAAAAUGACGGUACCAACAGAAGAAGUGACGGCUAAAUACGUG
rnacentral:rRNA from 1 species